rnacentral:rRNA from 1 species
GGGCCCGCACAAGCGGCGGAGCAUGCGGAUUAAUUCGAUGCAACGCGAAGAACCUUACCAAGGCUUGACAUAUAGAGGAAAAGUGCAGAAAUGCACUCCCCGCAAGGUCUCUAUACAGGUGGUGCAUGGUUGUCGUCAGCUCGUGUCGUGAGAUGUUGGGUUAAGUCCCGCAACGAGCGCAACCCUCGUCCUAUGUUGCCAGCACGUAAUGGUGGGAACUCAUGGGAUACUGCCGGGGUCAACUCGGAGGAAGGUGGGGAUGACGUCAAAUCAUCAUGCCCCUUAUGUCUUGGGCUUCACGCAUGCUACAAUGGCCGGUACAGAGGGCUGCAAACCAGCGAUGGGAGCUAA